rnacentral:rRNA from 1 species
UACGGAGGGUGCAAGCGUUAUCCGGAUUUACUGGGUUUAAAGGGUGCGUAGGCGGGCCUUUAAGUCAGUGGUGAAAUCUCCCCGCUCAACGGGGAAACUGCCAUUGAUACUAUUGGUCUUGAAUUUAGUUGAGGUGGGCGGAAUGUGUCGUGUAGCGGUGAAAUGCUUAGAUAUGACACAGAACACCGAUUGCGAAGGCAGCUCACUAAGCCAUAACUGACGCUGAUGCACGAAAGCGUGGGGAGCAAACAGG